CGCGCCCAGGGGAGGGGCCGCGGGGGUGCUCGCGCUGCGCAGUCGCCGGGACCAGGACGGCGUAGUCAGCGCGCACCGCGGUCACUAGAAGAGCGAAGAGCGAGCUUUGGGAUGCUGCGCCUGCACGCAGCUGCGCCCGGGACAGAAGGGGAGUUGGAGCCGGGGUCACGGACAUUUGUGUGUCGCCGUGUGUGUGCCAGGAACAGUAAGUGCUUUAAGUGCUCUUAACCAGCUACCCCUUCAGCUUCCGUGUUUUGUUUCGUUUUUUUUUUUUUUUCUUUUAAAUGAAAGACAGGGUCUCAUAUAGGUCAAGCUGGCAUAUCAAACUCGCAAGGAGCUAAGAGUGACCUGAUUCUCCUGCCUCCACCUCUCAAUUGCUGGAGUUACCAGGCAGACAUCACCAGAUCCCUACAGUUCCCAUGACCAAGAUAUUCUUGAAGGCCCUGCUGGGGUCAGACUGGAUUACCAAAGGAUGCCCUGCAAGUCACGCUUUAGGAAGAAACUGCCAGCUGUGCAGCACUGUGCAGCUGUUGAGACCCAGACUAGCCGGGAAGAAUCCUGAAAACAGAAAGACGGGGCUCCGCCGGGUUUGUGUUAACACUCGCCUGGAAUUUAUUGGGUGGAAAGAGAGAGGAAGAUAGUGCUUUCCCCUAAUUGGGACAACCUGACCUCAGAAGAAAACGAAACUCGGAUUAUAAAAGCAGCAGCCAAGGCAUUUCUGAACUCUGCUUUUCUAGACUGGGUUACCCUCAGGAGAUAUCCACACCCUAGGGCAGCUGACCACCCACUCCCCAAUGCAAUAAAGAACUAGUAAGGUUGUACUCUGGUCCUAGACAGGAUGGGUCACUUCCAACAUUUUACAAAGGCAGGUUUCAUCAGUGCCCUAAAUGCCAGAGUUUACCAAUCAAAGUCUAGUCAAUCUCAGACGACUUUGUUCAUCUUCCUAGCUCACAAGAGGAUAGAUUCUGGGCUUUUCCGGGUCAGAAGGGAACAGGCAGCAAUGAGAAUGAUGAUUUAGCCAAAGCAUGUUGGUGUUGAAACACUACAGGAGGUAUUAAGGCUUCCUUAGAAGAGGAAUCAGCUUCUGAUAGCCUGAACUCCAAACAGCCUUGCAGAAGUCCUUUCAUUGUUACACAAAAGCCAGUUCCAGGAGCUACACAGAACAAACAAGCCAGGGGUACAUAGAGAAAUCCACACCCCUGCCCCAAGAAAAGUCUUUUAGCAAGUCAUUUUUUUUACAGGUUUUUCUGUAGCUUUGGAGCCUGUCCUGGGAACUAGCUCUUGUAGACCAGGCUGACCUUGGACUCACAAAGAUCUGCUGACCUAGGAGUUGUUGAGGAAACCAUUCCAGGUUUGCCAGGAAUGUCUUAGGACUGUCAUGCUAAGGCUCUGAAACUCCCAAGAUUCCUUGAAGGCCUAAAUAGCCAGCACUCCAGAAUAAAUGCCGGGUGCAAUGGGUCUCCUAAUUUACUACAAAAGCAGGGAUGUUAUGGUAACAGUCACCACGUGUUCCAUUUUCAUGUGAAGUGGCAGCAGAAAUCUCUGGUGACUUGCCUGACCCUACACAAAAGCAGAGGCAAUAAGGACAUAGCCUCUUCCCCCAUUAUUUACUUUUUAAUGUGUGUGCAUGUGUAUACAGUGCUUUAAGAUUGAUUCUAACGCCUUCCUCCACUGUUCUGCCCUGUAUUCACUGAAACAGGCUCUCACGGGAAGCGAGCUCACCAGUUCAGCAGUCUGGCCAGCUUUGAGGAUGCCAUCUCCCACCUGUCUGUGCUGGGAUUACAGGCAGGCUGCAAGGCCUGCUCUACAUUUAUUUAUGUGCUGCGGACCUCAAGCUUGGGAGGCAAUCACUGAACCAUCUCUCCAGCUGCCUAAAAUUCAUCCAUGAAGGAGUGUAACUGCUGCUACAAUUUUUUUUUUUUUUUUUUUUUUUUUUUUUUUUUUUUUUUUUUUUUUUUUUUUUUUUUUUUUUUUUUUUUUUUUUUUUUUUUUUUUUUUUUUUUUUUUUUGGAGACAGGGUUUCUCUGUGGCUUUGGAGCCUGUCCUAGAACUAGCUCUGUAGACCAGGCUGGUCUCGAACUCACAGAGAUCUGCCUGCCUCUGCCUCCCGAGUGCUGGGAUUAAAGGCGUGCGCCACCACUGCCCGGCUGCUACAAUGUUUUAUCUCAGUAUCUGAGCAUGGAGGUCCACACCUGUCAUCUCGGUACUGAGGUGAAAGCAGGUGGCGUGGGGGGGUGCACAUCUGUAAUCUAGGUACUGGGGAGGUGAAAGCAGGUGGCCUGUCUACUUCAUGGCAAGGUCCUGUCUCAGUUUAUGGCUUAAACAGAGAAGUCUCUACUGUUAAUUUAGGAAUAUUCACAUCUUAGUUGGGUGUGGGAGAACAUGCCUGUAAUCUCAGAGCCAACAACUCCAAGUUCAAGGCCUGGUCUACAUAGGGAGUUCCAGGUUUCCCUUGCUGUAAUUGUCUUCAAAUUAUGCUACACUAGUCUGAAAUGCCCCCCCCCCCACAGGGUUUUUCUUCUGUGUAGCUUUGGCACUUGUCCUGGAACUCGCUCUAGCCUUGAACUCAGAGAUCUGCUUGCUUCUGCCUCCUGAGGGCUGUGAUUAAAGAUGUGUACCACAACCCAGCCUCAAUUUGUUUUUUAAAAAUAAUUUACUUAUUUUAUGUGCAUUGGUGUUUUGGCUGCAUGUAUAUUUGCAUGAGAGUGUCAGAUCUUGGAGUUACAGACAGUAGUGAGCUGCCAUGUAGGUGCUGGGAAUUAAACCUUGGUCCUCUGGAAGAGCAGUCAGUGCUCUUUACUGAACCUUCUCCCCAGCCCCUUAACAGACAUUUCACAUUUAAGUGUACGUAUGUUUGUGCUACACCGGGUGUAGAGGUCAGAGACAACCUGUAGUUUUCUCCUGCCACAUGGAUCCUGGGGAUCUUACU